GGUCCUAUAGUGUAGUGGUUAUCACGUUCGGUUCUGAUCCGAACAACCCCAGUUCGAAUCCGGGUAGGACCU
rfam:Lachancea nothofagi CBS 11611 genome assembly, chromosome: C